CCCGUUCGCCGAAAGACCAAGGGUUCCAGUCCAACGUUAAUCGGGGCUGGGUGAGUCGACCCCUAAGGCGAGGCCGAAAGGCGUAGUCGAUGGGAAAAUGGUUAAUAUUCCAUUACUUCUGUGUAAUGCGAUGAGAGGACGGAGAAGGCUAAAUCAGCCUGGCGUUGGUUGUCCAGGUGAAAGGAUGUAGGCAUGUAUCUUAGGCAAAUCCGGGGUACUCUAUGCUGAGAUCUGAUAGCAAGCUGUACUUGUACAGCGAAGUGGUUGAUGCCAUGCUUCCAGGAAAAGUCUCUAAGCUUCAGUUACACAGGAAUCGUACCCGAAACCGACACAGGUGGUCAGGUCGAGUAGACCAAGGCGCUUGAGAGAACUCUGCUGAAGGAACUAGGCAAAAUGGUACCGUAACUUCGGGAGAAGGUACGCUGUUGUUGGUGAUGGAACUCGCUUCCUGAGCUGACGACAGCCGCAGAAACCAGGCCGCUGCAACUGUUUAUUAAAAACAUAGCACUCUGCAAACACGAAAGUGGACGUAUAGGGUGUGAUGCCUGCCCGGUGCUGGAAGGUUAAUUGAUGGGGUUAGCGUAAGCGAAGCUCUUGAUCGAAGCCCCAGUAAACGGCGGCCGUAACUAUAACGGUCCUAAGGUAGCGAAAUUCCUUGUCGGGUAAGUUCCGACCUGCACGAAUGGCAUAAUGAUGGCGGCGCUGUCUCCAGCAGAGGCUCAGUGAAAUCGAAAUCGCUGUGAAGAUGCAGUGUACCCGCGGCUAGACGGAAAGACCCCGUGAACCUUUACUGCAGCUUGACACUGAACUUUGACCUUACUUGUGUAGGAUAGGUGGGAGGCUUUGAAGCUGGAACGCUAGUUCCAGUGGAGCCGUCCUUGAAAUACCACCCUGGUAAUGUUGAGGUUCUAACUCUGUCCCGUGAUCCGGGACGAGGACCGUGUCUGGUGGGUAGUUUGACUGGGGCGGUCUCCUCCUAAAGAGUAACGGAGGAGUACGAAGGUGCGCUCAGCGUGGUCGGAAAUCACGCGUAGAGUAUAAAGGCAAAAGCGCGCUUAACUGCGAGACCCACAAGUCGAGCAGGUACGAAAGUAGGUCUUAGUGAUCCGGUGGUUCUGUAUGGAAGGGCCAUCGCUCAACGGAUAAAAGGUACUCUGGGGAUAACAGGCUGAUACCGCCCAAGAGUUCAUAUCGACGGCGGUGUUUGGCACCUCGAUGUCGGCUCAUCUCAUCCUGGGGCUGAAGCAGGUCCCAAGGGUAUGGCUGUUCGCCAUUUAAAGAGGUACGCGAGCUGGGUUUAGAACGUCGUGAGACAGUUCGGUCCCUAUCUACCGUGGGCGCUGGAAAUUUGAGAGGAUCUGCUCCUAGUACGAGAGGACCAGAGUGGACGAACCUCUGGUGUACCGGUUGUGACGCCAGUCGCAUCGCCGGGUAGCUAUGUUCGGAAGGGAUAACCGCUGAAAGCAUCUAAGCGGGAAGCCUACCUCAAGAUAAGAUUUCCCUAGGACUUUAUGUCCUCUAAAGAGCCGUUCGAGACUAGGACGUUGAUAGGUUGGAUGUGGAAGCAUAGUGAUAUGUGAAGCUGACCAAUACUAAUUGCUCGUGAGGCUUGACUA
rnacentral:rRNA from 1 species